rnacentral:rRNA from 1 species
AACGAACGCUGGCGGCAUGCCUAACACAUGCAAGUCGAACGAGACCUUCGGGUCUAGUGGCGCACGGGUGCGUAACGCGUGGGAACCUUCCCUUAGGGUCGGCAUAACUCCCCGAAAGGGGUGCUAAUACCGGAUAAUGUCUUCGGACCAAAGAUUUAUCGCCUUUGGAUGUGCCCGCGUUGCAUUAGCUAGUUGUUAGGGUAAAAGCCUACCACGGCGACGAUCCAUAGCUGGUCUGAGAGGAUGAUCAGCCACACUGGGACUGAGACGCGGCCCAGACUCCUACGGGAGGCAGCAGUGGCGAAUAUUGGACAGUGGGCGAAAGCAUGAUCCAGCAAUGCCGCGAGAGUGAUGAAGGCCUUAGGGUUGUAAAGCUCUUUUACCCGGGAUGAUAAUGACAGUACCGGGAGAAUAAGCUCCGGCUAACUCCGUG